rnacentral:lncRNA from 1 species
CUCGAGGUCGUCAUGUGUGCUUGCCGCUAGAGGUUAUUCUGGUCAUUUCAGGUUUAGUCUUUAAUUUCUCUCAGAACAGCGGUGGGCACCCUAACACUGACAGCAGCAAAGUAGCCGCCUAGAUUAUGAUCGGCGCUUGGUUUCUCUGUUGGUGAUUCAACGCGUGCAUUCCAUUUUUUACAUCCGGGUAAGAUAAGAGGGUUUGCUUGAUGGUAAGCAACAUCACUUCCAACCGAGAAGUUGUGAGUUCGAGUUUUUUCAAAAGCAAGGUGGAAAGUUUUUGAAGGGAAGGAUAUCGGGUCUAUUUUAAAAUAGCUUCUCUAUUCAAUGCUAGGGGUAAGUAUGCAUAUACACUGCUGCGUCGUAUUAUCAGUCAUAACACCAUCUGAAAGCUUCCCUCUCUCUGAAAACCUCCUUGCAAUCUCUGCUUUCUCUUACUGUUAUUGUUGCUAAUUGCAAUUCAACGAUUUUUCUCGCUCCACUGUUAUUUUCUGGUGUAUGUCCAUCCUCAUCUUGUGCUUCUUUCAUAUUUGAUGGCAUGUUAGAAAUUUGUGUUCCUUGAAGAAUGAGGCUUGUGCGUAUAGAAAUUUAACAUGCCAAGGCUUUUGUUCUGUAAGUGUUUGAAAAAAUUCUUCAAUGAAUUGUGCUUCCGGGGUGAUUUUAGUUCAUACUAAUUUGAUUCCAUAUAUUUUCCUUUUGGUUUUCUGCUGUGUUUUAUUUAUGUAAUAAUGAAGUUAUAUACUUUAAAACCUCAUAGCAUAACGAUAAUUCCUUUUAAAAAGAUUUGUGCUUUUGUUGAUUAAAUUUUAGAAUAAAAAGGAUUCAUCAGCAUAUUUUAGAUAAUUUACCUGUAGUUCAGCAGAUGCUCUAAUAAAAUACAUCUUUUCCCUGAACCAAAUAAUUUAACAUGCUAAUUCUUCUAAAGUCAUUUAUACCUAUUUGGCACUUUCUGUUUUAGUAAUUGUUACUAUUGAUGGUUUAGGUGCGCACUAUUUGGUGGAGAAUUUGUGAUAUUUGUAGCAAAAGUAUUCAAGUAAGAACUCUAAGAGGCAACAUCUGAAAGAACGAUGAUUUUGGUCAAUUUGAUAAUUUUCUCUGUAGAAAACUACUUGGCUCUUUUAAAACAAAUGAAUAGUUUGAUUCUUGUACUCAUUUCAAGGAUUCUCACAUGGACAUAUCUGCUAUCUCACUUUAGACCAAGUAUUAGGUGAUUAAAACCCAAAUGUUUUUAUUUCUUACAUUCUUUUUCUUUUCUUAACAUUUGAAUAUUCACAUUCUUGGUAUAUAGAUUGUGGUUUAUCACUAAGCAGAGUUAUAUAUUAGGUUGGUUUAGCACAAAGUUUAAAUUUGUGGGAAGUGAUUCCGCUGGUGUUGUGACAACAUUUUAUGUAAGCUUAACAGAGUUACAUUUUAGGUUGGUUUAGCACAAAGCUUAAAUUUGUGGGAAGUGAUUCUGCUGGUGUUGGGACAACAUUUUAUGUAAGCUUAGAACAUGAAAUAAAAACUCAAUACAUAUGGGUGUAAUGGGAAUUUGCAUUGGUUGCAGAUGUGCUCGGAAGUUGAUGCAGCGCCGUUGAGAGAUGGGAUAGAUUUUGAAUUCUUG